rnacentral:rRNA from 1 species
GUAUAGAUCUUUCGGGAUCUAGAGAGCGGCGUACGGGUGCGGAACACGUGUGCAACCUGCCUUUAUCAGGUGGAUAGCCUUUCGAAAGGAAGAUUAAUACCCCAUAAUAUUUAGAAUGGCAUCAUUUUAAAUUGAAAACUCCGGUGGAUAGAGAUGGGCACGCGCAAGAUUAGAUAGUUGGUGAGGUAACGGCUCACCAAGUCUGCGAUCUUUAGGGGGCCUGAGAGGGUGAUCCCCCACACUGGUACUGAGACACGGACCAGACUCAAACGGGAGGCAGCAGUGAGGAAUAUUGGACAAUGGGUGAGAGCCUGAUCCAGCCAUCCCGCGUGAAGGACGACGGCCCUAUGGGUUGUAAACUUCUUUUGUACAGGGAUAAACCUACCCUCGUGAGGGUAGCUGAAGGUACUGUACGAAUAAGCACCGGCUAACUCCGUGCCAGCAGCCGCGGUAAUACGGAGGGUGCAAGCGUUAUCCGGAUUUAUUGGGUUUAAAGGGUCCGUAGGCGGAUGUGUAAGUCAGUGGUGAAAUCUCACAGCUUAACUGUGAAACUGCCAUUGAUACUGCAUGUCUUGAG